AUUUCUCUCUGAAGAUCCCUGCAUGUCUGAGGUCUUCUGAGGGUUCUGUUUUUGUUCCUGUGUCCUCAUUGUGUUUAAAUUCCCCUGCACUCUGGAAGAUGAGAUAAAAAUUUCUGCCAAAUAUGGUCAUAAAAAAAUGAAAAAGGAGGGAGUGAUUUUUUUUUUCUCUUAUAGAGAGCCUUUUCACAAUAUUUGAUGUAUCCUUUAUAUCCAUCAUUACACGGAGAUCUUAAGACUGGACGUAUCUACUGGCAUGUGGUUAAUAGCUGAAUCUAGAAUCUAGAAUAUAUUCAGGGAAAAUAUAUAUUCUGUCUAAAAUGUUUCUCUAUAGAAAUAGAAAAUCCUUCGAAGAAUUUCUUUAAGUUACCAGCUUGUUGUCAUAUUUGUAAAUAAACAGUAUUAUUUUCAUAGUAGUUCAACAGUGUGUGACAUUUUAGCUGGAGAUCUUGAAUCUGCUCCACCUACAACUUUAAGGCUGAGCACUGACUGUAUAAAUAUAAACACUGAGACAAAUAGACAGAUUUCCUUUCUACAUACUGUAUCAUUGUCAAACUAGGAAACAUUAUCCGUAUACAACGUAAUGACUUUUUUCUUUCCUUGAAGCAGACCUUAUGAGCCUCUUUCAUUCUCUUUCCUUUGAAGAGGAGCUAUUUCCUCUCUGGACUGCACAAAAAAAAAGUGUGUGUAUAUGUAUAAUAGCUUGGCAUACGUAUUCUUUAAAGUUGCCAUAUUGUAAUCAAGGGUUCCAUUCCCACUCAGUUUGUUUUAUUGAGACAGUACUAACGAUUUUAGGAAAAAAAUAUUUAAAGAUUUCUAGUACUUUGCAUGUAAAUAAAAUCUAAUUUUAGAAUG
ensembl:lncRNA